UCAACUCUAGCGAGACUGCCGGUGACAAACCGGAGGAAGGUGGGGAUGACGUCAAAUCAUCAUGCCCCUUAUGACCUGGGCUACACACGUGCUACAAUGGGAAGUACAACGAGUCGCGAAGUCGCGAGGCUAAGCUAAUCUCUUAAAGCUUCUCUCAGUUCGGAUUGUAGGCUGCAACUCGCCUACAUGAAGCCGGAAUCGCUAGUAAUCGCGGAUCAGCACGCCGCGGUGAAUACGUUCCCGGGCCUUGUACACACCGCCCGUCACACCACGAGAGUUUGUAACACCCGAAGUCGGUGAGGUAACCUUUUGGAGCCAGCCGCCUAAGGUGGGAUAGAUGAUUGGGGUGAAGUCGUAACAAGGUAACCGUAAA
rnacentral:rRNA from 1 species